rnacentral:misc_RNA from 1 species
GAUGAAGAACGUAGCGAAAUGCGAUACGUAGUGUGAAUUGCAGAAUUCAGUGAAUCAUCGAAUCUUUGAACGCACAUUGCACCUCUCGGUAUUCCGGGAGGUAUGCCUGCUCGAGCGUCAUUUGUACCCUCAAGCUCUGCUUGGUGUUGGGUGUUUGUUCCGCCUCUGUGUGUGAACUCGCCUCAAAACAAUUGGCAGCCGGCGUACUUGUUUCGGAGCGCAGCACAUUUUGCGAUCCAGAUCAACGUACAGCGGCAUCCAAGAAGCCUUAUUUAACGCUCUUGACCUCGGAUCAGGUAGGGAUACCCGCUGAACUUAAGCAUAUCAAUAAGCGGAGGA